UAUGAAGACUGCAUUUCCCAUGAGCACCAUCGCUCGCUGUCGCUGCCGAAGCGUGGAUUCGUUGUGGAGUCAAAUGAAUAGACAACAGAUCUUGCAGGAUGCAGAGUGACAAGAUGGUCCCAGCUAUGUAUGCAUGUGCAGUCUUUACUAAGUGAGACCACGUUGCAAAAAGGACUCAUGCAUCAAAGCUUUCCAAUCAAGCUUCAGUUAAAACAGAAGUUGCCUGUCAUGUAUUUGCAGUCUGUAGUUGCAAAUCUGAGAAGGCGUUCUCCUUGUUGCUACAGAUGUCUUUCAGAGGAUGCAGUUUUGUAGCCUCACACAAGAAUUGCAAAUAGAGCGGUAAACUAAAGCAUGCAUUAUUU